rnacentral:sRNA from 1 species
UCCCAGCAGCCGUGUUGUGUGGCCCGCGA